AUACCCUAUUAUUCUUUAUUUAGUUUAUCCUGAAUAUUAAUAGUUUAGUUCUAUAAAACUCAAAGAAUUUGGCGGCACUUAAUUCUUUUUAGAGGAACCUGUUUUUUAAUUGAUGCACCACGAUAAUUUAUACCUUAAUUAUACUUGUAUACCUCUAUAUUUCGGAAUGUUCUUUCAGGAAUUAUUUUCUUUUUUAUUAUUUUAUUUUAUAUUAGGUCAAGGUGCAGUUUCUUAAGGUUAAAAUGGGUUACAUUAUAAUUUUAAUUGGUUAGUGAUUAAGAUUUUCAUUAUUAAAUUGGAUUUAAUAGUAAUUCUUAUUAAUUAAUUAUUUUGAAUUUUGUUCUUGAGUGUGUACACAUC
rnacentral:rRNA from 1 species